rnacentral:rRNA from 1 species
AGCAGUCGCCGCGGUAAUACGUAGGUGGCAAGCGUUGUCCGGAAUUAUUGGGCGUAAAGCGCGCGCAGGCGGAUAGGUCAGUCUGUCUUAAAAGUUCGGGGCUUAACCCCGUGAUGGGAUGGAAACUGUCAAUCUAGAGUAUCGGAGAGGAAAGUGGAAUUCCUAGUGUAGCGGUGAAAUGCGUAGAUAUUAGGAAGAACACCAGUGGCGAAGGCGACUUUCUGGACGAAAACUGACGCUGAGGCGCGAAAGCCAGGGGAGCGAACGGGAUUAGAUACCCCCGUAGUCCCUGUCUCUUAUACA